UCCAGGUAUCUUGCCGGAAGAUGUCUGA
rnacentral:piRNA from 1 species